rnacentral:lncRNA from 9 species
GAGGUGGUUUAUUACUGCAGCACCAGCUAGCCUACCCUUGUGAAAGAUAAAGAGGUAAAGAGCAGGAAGGAGAGAGAAGCAGCAAGAGAAAAAGAAAAAAAAGGGCACAGGAGGAGAGGGGGAGAAAAAGGGAACUCCACGCCAAUGUUCCACCUGGCAGAGAGACAAGAAUGAUCGCAAACUUCAGCCACCAGGCGGGGAUGAGUUUGAGGAAAGAGAUCCAGAGGCUGCGCUGGCUGGUUCUGCCAGGAACCCGCUGUGAUGGGACCACGGUAAGAAACCUGCGAGCUCUGCGGGUCGAGUUUCUUCAUCUCUGACAUAAUGAGGGUGGACCUUGUGGCCUCUAUGACACUUCCAACUCUAACGAUAGUGGUGGUAUCGAGUAAUAGCAGCUACCGUUUAUUGAGCAUGUACUACAUGCCAGGUACAGAGCUUGGAUUACUGCAUUUAAUCUUCACAUCAACCCUAGAAGGUAGGCAUUACUGUACCCAUUUUGUAGAUGGCUAAACGGAGACUGAGGUGGAGAAACCAGCCCAAGACCACAGAGCCAGUAAGUGGUGGAGCUGUAAUCUGGAAGGAAUUCCUACUGAGUCCUGAGCCCACACCCUCAACCACUCUGCCAAAAAGUUACCAUAAAGCAUCAUCUCUUGGUGUGGUUACAGAAACAUUAAACAUGGAGACAAAGCAGAGGUGCUCUUUAACACUCUCUUGAGAUGCUAAUAUUCUACCCAUCCCCACCCCAAAAGAGAGAUAAAGUGCCUACUAGAAACAAAGUUUAACCAUUAUUUGCCAUCUCUUCUGAGAAAGGAAGGGCUUUUCUUCUGGCUGUGGUUCUCGAUCUUUGUGGAUCUAGCUGCCGCAUUUAGUCCACAGAGAGGGUAAGAGGAGUCUUCCCUCUAGACAUCACCCCAUCUCUCUAGGCUCCCAUGAUUGUUGGGACAACUUCCUGUUCCCCCUUGUCCAUAUCACCAGCUAGGUUACUGGCCAUCCCUGCACCAGGGCCAUUUGCAGCCUGGAUCCCUACAGUCUUCAGGGCCAGGCAUAUUUCUCCUGAAACACCUCUUUAUUUCAACAAGUGUUGGUUACUUGUCUGUCCCAAGAACUAAAUGAGAAUGCAAACCAACUGACAAUUAGAGACAUUUUUUCCUAGGCUUAUAACGGAACUACAGACUGACCAGAUAGAGAAUGUUGGGGCUCCAACUUUUUAAUUAAAAAGUUGUUUCAAAAGAGCACUCGAGUAGAAAUUCUAAGUUACUGUGGGCCAACUCCAACUACCAUGCCCCAGAACCCAGCAACAAGGAGAACUGUAUGCAGAAGAAACAAGAUUUUGACUGCAGCCUUAGAGGUAAAGACACUAACUGGAGCCUGGAGGGAGCGCUGCCCUCUGCAUAAUACAGCACAGCUGCACUACUUCACCCUAACCAAGAAAGCCCAUUCUGCUGAAGGGUGUGUACACAGCCUCAGGCCCAUUCCAUUUGUCCACACAGUGUACUCAGUGCAAUGUCUUUUAAAAAAUGUUUUAAUUUGCCAUCAAUAUUUUUUGAACAGAAGAUUUCACAUAGAAUCCAGAUUUCAGACUUGUCUUAAGGUCAGAGGGUCUGGCAAAACCCUGAGCCUACAUCUCCGCAGAGCACCCAUGGGAGCCUGAGGUCUCUGAUUCACCCCAGUCCCCACCACUCCCUGAUGGCUCACACACUGGCCUUCUUGUCUGUUUGCAUUACUUCCCUGGACAUUGCAAGGCCCUCAAGUCAGCCUGUUGAAUCCCCAUUGUUUGCUGACUGGAGAGCAGAGAUUAUGGACAGGUGGUACGUGGGUGUACAUGUGCCCCAUGUCUUUUUAAACCCCUGGUCUGGUCACUCAUGUCUCCCUACAAUUUAUUCUCCAACCAGCACCACCAUAUUGGCCAAUAGAAUAAGGCUUACCUAGACGAGUGUCUGACCCUAGCGUCCCAUUCCCAAAUGAUAUGCUGGUUAUCUACACAUGCCCCUCACUUCUGGGUUCCAUGUGCAAAUCUAUAGGGACAUAAAGCAAAUUAAUGGUUACCCAAUUAGUGGGUGUGGGGUUAAGAAUGGGAAUUGACUGCAAGUAGACAUGGGGGAUCUUCUGGGAGUGAUGGAAAUGUUAUAAAACUGGAUAUUGGUGAUGGGUGCACAACCUUGUAAAUGCACUAAAAAUCAUUGAAUUGUGUACUUAAGACAGGUGAAAUUUAUGGUAUAUUAACUAUACCUCCAUAAAGCUAUUUUUAUUUAAAGAAUCAUUCUGACUGCUUUAUGGAGAAUAAGCUAGAAGGGAACAGAGGCAAAAACAGGGGGGUCACUUUAAAGGUUCAUUUAUUAUGUAGGUGGAAGUCAAUGGGGACUUGGACCAUGAUGGUAGCAAAUAGAGGUGGUCAGACACUGGACGUGUCUGCAGGCAGAGCAGACAGAACUGGCCAGUGUGAGGGAAAGAGAAAGCAAGGAUGACGCUAAAGUGCUUCUGGGGAGGACGGAGGUGUCAUUGACCAAACUGGGGGAGACUGUGGGAGGAGGUAUAGGAGGAUGUAGGAAACAUAAGGAGUUCUGUUUUAGCAAGUCAAGCUCAAGCUACCUGCUAGGCAAGGAAGCUGAGAAACUGAGUAGGAUGCAAUAUGUAAGUUCAGGGAAGAGGCUGCUUCGUGAAAUUGGAAUAACCAAUGGAAUUCCUUUGAACUAAGCCAUUGGACUAAGAUUUAACAAAAUACCUCAGCACUCCCAUCAUGUAAGUGGCUGAUGGGAGGCAAUGGGCAAAACUGCUUGUGUGCACAGUGUAUGCAUUCCCACACACAUAUACAAACAUAUGUGUGUGUGUGUUUGUGUAUAUGUAUACACAUUUAUUUUUGCUCAUAUCCACAUAUAUCAAAGUCUACAUAUAUGUAAUAUUAUAUAUAUAUACACAUAUAAAUAUAUAUAAAAUUAGAAGUCAGGUAGGCACUUUGGGGGUAAAGAGCCUUGGAUUAGGAGCUAAGGGAGGAGUGUAGACAGUAGGCAAAAAAUGAUACGAUCCAUUUCAUACGUACUAUUUUUUAUGAAGAAAUAAUAACAACUCAUAACAAAAUUGUGAUAGGAUGGGGAGACAACACCGUAUCGUCACCAAUCAUUCCCAAAUAUAUAACUAAAAUAAAACUCCAACUGAAAGUGAAAAAAAAUUAAAAAGUAAGGCAGACAACAAUAAGAUAUUUGGCUGCUGCUGUUUUUUUCCCUGGCAUCAUAAAACUAUAAAAUCUCAGACAUGUAAGGGCUCUUGGAAUUUAUUUAAUCCAAGACUGACUGACACAGAUGAGCUACAAAGCCCCAAAAUGGUGAAGCAACUGGUCCACAAGCAUGUAUCUAAUUCUUUACAAGCACUUCAUGCAAAGUAGCUGUCUACUUCUGUCUUUCUGAGGAAAAUAUAAAUUGACUUUAUACACUCUGAAACAUAUCACAAGAGGAAAGCUGUUGUGCCACCAAAAACUUUUCCCAUUACUGGAGCUUAUCAAGAAAUAAAAGAAUCCAAUGGAAAACCGUUUAGUUAUAUAAGUCAAAAUAGUAAAUGUGCAUAUCUUUGAACUUUGUGACUCUAUUUCUAGAAAUUUAUGUAAUAGAGAUAUUAGGGAAAAGUCUACAAAUAUUGUUCCUCAUAUUUUUACUCUAUUGCUUCUACUAACGGAAAGUAAUAGAGAACCAUUAAUACUAUAAAUUGAAAGUAAAUGAAACAGCUAUCAAGAGUGUUUUUAGUUAAAUUAAGGUACACCAUAUAAUAUAAAUAUUAUACAAUCACAAAAAUAACGACAUGGUACUAUAUUUAUCAAUAUGAAAAGUCAGACACACUGCUGAAGUGAAAGGAAAACAGGUUGAAGAACAAAUGAUUGAGGUUCCUAAAUUAAAAAAAAAAA